rnacentral:rRNA from 1 species
AGUGAACGCUGGCGGCGUGCCUAAUACAUGCAAGUCGAACGAAGUGGAGCGCGGGUGAGUAAUAUAUAGUUAAUCUGCCCUCCAAACACGAACAAAGAUUGGAAUAGCCUGCUGAUACCUCCUCGUGUAGGAUGGGACUAUAUCGUAUCAGCUAGUUGGUAAGGUAAUGGCUUACGAAGGGUAUGACGCGUAACUGGGAUGAGAAGAUGAUCAGUCACAUUGUAACGGAGACACCGUUCAAACUCCUACGGGAAUGAGCAGUAAUGAAUAUUGCGCAAGAGGGGAAAGCGUGACGCAGCAGCGGGGCGUGAAGCAUGAUACUUUUCGGAGCAUAAACUCCUUUUAUCAGGAAAGCGGUACCUAAUGAAUAAGCACCGGCUAACUCCGUGCCAGCAGCCGCGGUAAUUC